rnacentral:ncRNA from 1 species
CUGGAGGAAGCCGAAAAUCCUGAAAAGAGUAGGUU